UCUGGUGAGGUCGGGGGAGCUGGGAUGGCCUUGUGCUGUGGCUAGAUUGCAGCCGUGUGGCCCGCCUGCGAGCGGCGCAGCUGAUUAGGUGACUCUGUUACGCUGCUUGAGCGCGUGUGCACACUAGAACUGCGAACUUUGGUUCCAGAGUCCGGAGUCUUCCUGGAACACAGAGGCUCUGAUUUCUGUGCAGCUGGUCGCAGCUCUGAUGGUUUCUGCGAAAACCUGCUGUUUAGGGGUCCUGUCGCUCGCUCUGAGAUGUUGCAUUCUGUCUAGAGACAGGGUCUCCUGAGCUGCUUAGGACCUCGCUAAGUUGCUGAGGCUGGCCUUGAAUUUGCCAUCCUCCUGCCUUUGCCUCCAGAGCCACUGGGAUUACAGUUUAGGGUCUAUGAAUGAAAAUGGAGGCAUUUGGAGGCAUUUCUAUUUUUGCUACAUUGGAAGAAUACACAUCUUGAAAAAUUCUGCCACCACUAAAUACCAAGAAAUGCUAAGUAUAAAAAGUAGAGUUUUAUAAUGUGUGAGUAAUCUCUGAAAAAAAUUAAAGGAAAUCCCCUGUGGAUGAAAAAAUAAGGAAGGAGCUUCAAAAAGCCUCAGAGCAGCCAAUGAAAUGACAGACUACAUACAAAGUUAUCAGCAAUUACAUUAAAGCAAUAUUCUUAACAAUGGAAGCAAACACUAAGGAAAAAUAACUGCCAACUAGUCAUUCUAUCAUUCAAGAACUAUGGUAAAAUAAAGAUGUUUUCAAAUGAACAGAAACUCAAAGUAUGAACUACCAAGAGACACCUAUGACAACAGCUUCCAAAGGAUUUCUUCAGGAAGAAUAAUAAGGGUGCCAGAAAGGACAUUGGAGAUGAAAAAAGAAAUGUUUCUGAAGAUUCCUCAUUCUGUGACAAAAUUGAUCAUCAGAGAAGAGUAAGAAUUUCUUUUUUAAAAAUUAGAGAUUUGAUACAGCUGUCAUAAAUAAUUCAUACCACCUAAAAGAACAUGUAGCAAAUAAAAUCACAUACAGAAGCUGAAAAAAUAAAAUACUGUAUAAUCCA